rnacentral:RNase_P_RNA from 1 species
AACGCCCGCCGGGGGCGACCCCAGGGAUAGCGCCACAGAAAGCAAACCGCCCGCGAGGCUUCGGCUUCGAAGGGUAAGGGUGAAAGGGUGCGGUAAGAGCGCACCGCGUCCCUGGUGACAGGGGCGGCAUGGCAAGCCCCGCCAGGAGCAAGACCGAAUAGGGGUCCCGCGCCCGUCGCAAGACGGGUAGGGCUGUCGCCGGCCCGAGGGACCCGGGUAGGUCGCGAGAACCGGCCCGCGAGGGUCGGUCCAGAGGAAUGAUCGCCGCGCCGGCGUCACACCCGGCGGCACAGAACCCGGCUUACAGGCCGUCUGGUCCC